rnacentral:rRNA from 1 species
UAAGACGAACCGUGCGAACGUUGUUCGGAAUCACUGGGCUUAAAGGGCGCGUAGGCGGGCUCACAAGUCAGGGGUGAAAGCCCACGGCUCAACCGUGGAAGUGCCUUUGAUACUGUGGGCCUCGAGGGAGGUAGGGGCGUGCGGAACUUCCGGUGGAGCGGUGAAAUGCGUAGAUAUCGGAAGGAACACCGGUGGCGAAAGCGGCGCGCUGGACCUCUACUGACGCUGAGGCGCGAAAGCCAGGGGAGCAAACGGGAUUAGAUACCCCGGUAGUCCUGGCCCUAAACGAUGGGUACUAGGUAGUGGACUUACAUGGGUUCACUGCCGAAGCAAAAGUGAUAAGUACCCCGCCUGGGGAGUAUGGUCGCAAGGCUG